AGUGAACGCUGGCGGUAGGCCUAACACAUGCAAGUCGAACGGCAGCACAGUAAGAGCUUGCUCUUACGGGUGGCGAGUGGCGGACGGGUGAGGAAUACAUCGGCAUCUACUUUUUCGUGGGGGACAACGUAGGGAAACAUACGCUAAUACCGCAUACGAUCUACGGGUGAAAGCAGGGGAUCUUCGGACCUUGCGCGAUUCAAUGAGCCGAUGUCGGAUUAGCUAGUUGGCGGGGUAAAGGCCCACCAAGGCGACGAUCCGUAGCUGGUCUGAGAGGAUGAUCAGCCACACUGGAACUGAGACACGGUCCAGACUCCUACGGGAGGCAGCAGUGGGGAAUAUUGGACAAUGGGCGCAAGCCUGAUCCAGCCAUGCCGCGUGGGUGAAGAAGGCCUUCGGGUUGUAAAGCCCUUUUGUUGGGAAAGAAAAGCUGCGGGUUAAUACCCCGCUGUUCUGACGGUACCCAAAGAAUAAGCACCGGCUAACUUCGUG
rnacentral:rRNA from 1 species